rnacentral:rRNA from 1 species
CGCACGGGUGAGUAACACGUAUCCAACCUGCCUUUACUCGGGGAUAGCCUUUCGAAAGAAAGAUUAAUACCCGAUAGUAUAAUGAUUCCGCAUGGUUUCAUUAUUAAAGGAUUCCGGUAAAGGAUGGGGAUGCGUUCCAUUAGGUUGUUGGUGAGGUAACGGCUCACCAAGCCUUCGAUGGAUAGGGGUUCUGAGAGGAAGGUCCCCCACAUUGGAACUGAGACACGGUCCAAACUCCUACGGGAGGCAGCAUG